rnacentral:rRNA from 1 species
CCGGCGACGAGUGGCGGACGGGUGAGUAAUGCUUGGGAAUUUGCCUAGUAGUGGGGGACAACACGGGGAAACUCGUGCUAAUACCGCAUAAGCCCUACGGGGGAAAGCGGGGGAUCUUCGGACCUCGCGCUAUUAGAUGAGCCCAAGUCGGAUUAGCUUGUUGGUGAGGUAAAGGCUCACCAAGGCGACGAUCCGUAGCUGGUCUGAGAGGACGAUCAGCCACACUGGGACUGAGACACGGCCCAGACUCC